rnacentral:rRNA from 1 species
CCCUUAGAUGCUCUGGGCCGCACGCGCGCUACACUGGUCGAUGCAACGAGUUUCUUUCCUUGUCCGACAGGCCUGGGCAAUCUUUGAACAUCGAUCGUGAUCGGGAUAGAUUCUUGUAAUUUUUGAUCUUAAACGAGGAAUUCCUAGUAAACGCAAGUCAUCAGCUUGCAUUGAUUACGUCCCUGCCCUUUGUACACACCGCCCGUCGCACCUACCGAUUGAAUGGUCCGGUGAAAUCUCCGGACUGGCGUGAGUCGGAGCAAUCUGACAAACACCGGAAAGUUGAUUAAACCUUACCAUUUAGAGGAAGGUGAAGUCGUAACA